rnacentral:rRNA from 1 species
CCCUUAGAUGUUCUGGGCCGCACGCGCGCUACACUGAUGCAUUCAACGAGUCUAAAACCUGCUCUGAUAGGGGUGGGUAAUCUUUUGAAUGUGCAUCGUGAUUGGGAUAGAUGAUUGCAAUUUUUCAUCUUCAACGAGGAAUGCCUAGUAAACGCAAGUCAUCAACUUGCAUUGAUUACGUCCCUGCCCUUUGUACACACCGCCCGUCGCUCCUACCGAUUGAAUGAUCCGAUGAAUAUCAUGGAUUGAGGAUUAUAGCAGGUUCGCCUGUCUUGAUCUUCGAGAAGUGAAGUAAAUCUUAUCAUUUAGAGGAAGGAGAAGUCGUAACA